rnacentral:rRNA from 1 species
UGCUUUACACAUGCAAGUCGAACGGUAACAGGUCUUCGGAUGCUGACGAGUGGCGAACGGGUGAGUAAUACAUCGGAACGUGCCUAGUAGUGGGGGAUAACUACUCGAAAGAGUAGCUAAUACCGCAUGAGAUCUACGGAUGAAAGCAGGGGACCUUCGGGCCUUGUGCUACUAGAGCGGCUGAUGGCAGAUUAGGUAGUUGGUGGGGUAAAAGCUUACCAAGCCUGCGAUCUGUAGCUGGUCUGAGAGGACGACCAGCCACACUGGGACUGAGACACGGCCCAGACUCCUACGGGAGGCAGCAGUGGGGAAUUUUGGACAAUGGGCGAAAGCCUGAUCCAGCAAUGCCGCGUGCAGGAUGAAGGCCCUCGGGUUGUAAACUGCUUUUGUACGGAACGAAAAGCCUGGGGCUAAUAUCCCCGGGUCAUGACGGUACCGUAAGAAUAAGCACCGGCUAACUACGUGCCAGCAGCCGCGGUAAUGCGUAGGGUGCAAGCGUUAAUCGGAAUUACUGGGCGUAAAGCGUGCGCAGGCGGU